rnacentral:rRNA from 1 species
AGUGAACGCUGGCGGCAGGCCUAACACAUGCAAGUCGAACGGCAGCACAGAGGAGCUUGCUCCUUGGGUGGCGAGUGGCGGACGGGUGAGGAAUACAUCGGAAUCUGCCUAGUCGUGGGGGAUAACGUAGGGAAACUUACGCUAAUACCGCAUACGACCUACGGGUGAAAGCGGGGGAUCGCAAGACCUCGCGCGAUUAGAUGAGCCGAUGUCCGAUUAGCUAGUUGGCGGGGUAAUGGCCCACCAAGGCGUCGAUCCGUAGCUGGUCUGAGAGGAUGAUCAGCCACACUGGGACUGAGACACGGCCCAGACUCCUACGGGAGGCAGCAGUGGGGAAUAUUGGACAAUGGGCGCAAGCCUGAUCCAGCCAUGCCGCGUGUGUGAAGAAGGCCUUCGGGUUGUAAGCACUUUGUCGGGUAAGAAAUCGUGCGGAUUAAUACUUCGUACGGAUGACGGUACCGAAAGAAUAAGCACCGGCUAACUUCGUGCCAGCAGCCGCGGUAAUACGAAGGGUGCAAGCGUUACUCGGAAUCACUGGCGUAAAGCGUGCGUAGGCGGUUGGUUAAGUCUGCUGUGAAGCCCUGGGCUCAACCUGGGAGCUGCAGUGGAUACUGGCUAGCUAGAGUGUGAUAGAGGAUGGUGGAAUUCCCGGUGUAGCGGUGAAAUGCGUAGAGAUCGGGAGGAACACCAGU